rnacentral:tRNA from 1 species
GUGGUUAUAGCUCAAGUGGUAGAGUUCUUGCUUAGAAUGCACGAGGUCCUGGGUUCAAUUCCCGGUACCUCCA